GCCGUUAUAACCGACAAAAAUCGACUAUUUUAUUAUUUUUAGGCCAAAAGUUUUUCAAUUUGUUGUUCAUACAGAUUCCUAUGUGAAAGAAACCCUAGCAAGUUAGUAUAUAAGCUGAGUUAUCAGCUUCUCUUUUCUCAUUGCUGCCAUUCCUCAUGCGUUGUUUACCCCAUCUCUCUCCACUAUCUCCUGCAAUUUCUUCCAUUCCUUUUGCUUUUAGAAAAACCUUACUUGCCUGCAAUCAAAACCAAAGCUUCCCUCUUUUCUGUCAAACCAAUCCGUCUAAGCUGAAAGCAUCCGUCAGUUCUAUCUGGUUUCGUAUUGCAGCUCCAUAUUCUGAAACCUGCAAAUUUGAACACAAAUCUACCUUCAUUUCUUCGCAGACCCGAGCCCAGCUCACCUAUUUCAGCCGUCUCGGUUUGCCGACGCACAAAGGUAAAAUGCAUCGAUCUUGUUUCCUCAUUAAUUUCUUAAUUCCAGCACAAAUGCAAUAGUGAAAUUCGAGCCUAGUCAGUGAGCUUGUGUUGUAGAAGACGAUCGAAGAUGAUGACGAAUACAAGGAAUGGUAGCAACGUCAGACUUUAGAUCCGCAAGAAAAAUGAGCAGCAGCAACCACGAUGUCCACAGAUCUCGAAAAUACAGGUAUAAAUGCUCAACCAGAAUGAGCAUGGUCUUUGCAUCCAUAUAUCUGAUAGUCUCCAUUAUACUCAUGUUUUUUUUUUUUUUUUGGUAUGCAUGCUGCCCUGAAUAACUGUGAUGAAGUUGAGAAAGAUGAAGUUGUUUGUGAGUAACAAGUCUGGGAUGAGGUGCAAG
rnacentral:lncRNA from 1 species